CAUACUGUUUUCCAUACUUGCUACACCAAUUUCCCACCAACAGUGCACAAGGGUUCCCUUCUCUUCAGCUCCUCUGCCCAUUUCUUAAUUGGAUUGUUUGGUUUUUUUGCUAUUGAGUUGUAUGAGUUCUUUAUAUAUUUUGGAUAUUAACCCGUUAUCAGAUAUAUGAUUUGAAAAUAUUUUCUCUCAUUCUGCAGAUUGCCUUUUCAUUUUGUUGAUGGUUUCCUUGCUGUGCAGAAACAUUUUAGUUUGAUGUAGUCCCACUUGUUUAUUUUGCUUUUGUUGCCUUUGCUUUUGGUGUCAGAGCCAAAAAAUCAUCACCAAAACCAACGUCCAGAAGCUUACUGCGUAUUGUCAUCUAAUUCAAACCACAAAGUGGAGCAUCCAAGUGCAGCGGGCUGGAGCACAUCCAGAAGGCAAAGGAGUAAAUCCAGAUAAUUAAGGCGGGAUCAAAACUAAAACCAGGAACCUGAGAUCUGGAAGCCAGGAAAAAGAGGCUUUUUAGUAUCCAGACACUCAAGAUGCCGACAACAGAGUACUAAACAAGCAUGAAGCUUCUCUAAGUAUGCGACUGUGAGCGACUACAUAGGUCAUAAGCCCG
rnacentral:lncRNA from 1 species